GAGGUUUGCGCUACAAACAGGCAUGUAGGUGAACGAUGACUCUCACCUGCACAUUUACUUGGUUCUCUUGCAAGCUGCUUCUUUACAGAGCAGCACUUUCAUACUUGGAGUUGGUCAAAGACUAUACCAGAAGUUCUGUUCUUCCAAAACCUUGCGUGGUACCGCACCCAGUUCUGCUGCAACAACUCAACUCCCAAGACAAAUGCCAGCUCUAUCUCAGUGGAUGAUAUUCUCCCUUGCUACUUGCAGCAUGUUCCCAGAAACAGAAGUGCAUCUCAGCUUUGAUAUUUUAUCAGACAGUGAACAGUGUUCUCAGUCUAAAAAGUACUUAUAAAACUAUGUAUAUCAGGACCAUCUGGAGCCCCCCACCAUAACAGUGCAAUAAAAUAUAUUUCCAAUUUAUAUUGUGGCAUUGUGCUUAUUAUAAGUUUAGUUCUUUCAGCAGAUGUAUAAACCAAUAACUUUCUUUGUGUUAAAUAUUCCCCAAAGAAAAGUAAAUUGACCUCUUCAGGGAUUUUCUGAGGAUCAGGAAAAUGUCCUUUCAGUAUCUGUUUUCCAU
rnacentral:lncRNA from 1 species